rnacentral:rRNA from 1 species
CCGAACCGACUAAUGUUGAAAAAUUAGCGGAUGACCUGUGGCUGGGGGUGAAAGGCCAAUCAAACCGGGAGAUAGCUGGUUCUCCCCGAAAGCUAUUUAGGUAGCGCCUCGUGAAUUCAUCUCCGGGGGUAGAGCACUGUUUCGGCUAGGGGGCCAUCCCGGCUUACCAACCCGAUGCAAACUGCGAAUACCGGAGAAUGUUAUCACGGGAGACACACGGCGGGUGCUAACGUCCGUCGUGAAGAGGGAAACAACCCAGACCGCCAGCUAAGGUCCCAAAGUCAUGGUUAAGUGGGAAACGAUGUGGGAAGGCCCAGACAGCCAGGAUGUUGGCUUAGAAGCAGCCAUCAUUUAAAGAAAGCGUAAUAGCUCACUGGUCGAGUCGGCCUGCGCGGAAGAUGUAACGGGGCUAAACCAUGCACCGAAGCUGCGGCAGCGACACUGUGUGUUGUUGGGUAGGGGAGCGUUCUGUAAGCCUGUGAAGGUGUGUCGUGAGGCAUGCUGGAGGUAUCAGAAGUG